CCGCUGCUUUCCAAGAAAGAUGGUCAAGUCUGGGAACUAGUGGGGCAGGGAAAGGCCCUGACAUCGCAGCAGGGGUCCACCAGGGCAGGGACCGGGACUUUCAUUGGUCACUGGCCAGACGGCUCACAGUGCUUCACCAUCGUUUAAACAUUUCCUCCAGCCCACUCUUUCUGGCCCUCAUCUACUCCGCCUUGGAGAGCCCAGUUGGCCUGGACAAGCAGCGCUCAAUAAUAGAUCACAUUCUAUCUGGCUGAAAAGAUACCGGAGAAAGGCAAGGCAUCCUUGUUCUUUUAUUAGCUCUUGCCUACCCUCUUUCUAGCUCCUUUCCAC